rnacentral:rRNA from 1 species
GAUGAACGCUGGCGGCGUGCCUAAUACAUGCAAGUCGAGCGAACAGACGAUGAGCUUGCUCCUCUCACGUUAGCGGCGGACGUGUGAGUAACACAUGUAUAACCUACCUAUAAUACUGGUAUAACUUCGGGAAACCGGAUCUAAUACCGUAUAAUCUCUUGAACCGCAUGGUUCAAUAGUGAAAUACGGUUUUUCUGUCACUUAUAGAUGGAUCCGGGCCGCAUUAGCUAGUUGUUACGGUAACGGCUUACCAAGGCGACGAUGCGUAGACGAACUAACGGGGUGAUAGGCGGCAUUAGAAGUGAGACAGGGUCCAGGGGCCUAAGGGAGGCAGCAGUAGGGAAUGGUACGCAAUGGGCGAAAGUAUGACGGAGUAAGGCGAAGUGAGUGAUGAAGGUCUUGGGAUCGUAAAAAUCUGUUACUAGGGAAAAACAAAUGUGUAAGGAAAUAUGGACGUAUUGACGGUAACUAAUAAGAAAGCAACGGCUAACUACGUG